GGGUCAGCUAUAGCUCAGCGGUUCCUUCACUCAUUUCUUGCAAACAAAUAAAGUCUCUCCGGAGGUUCAAGACCCGCGGGCGCUUUCUGACCUUUUA
ensembl:vault_RNA Vault Vault RNA